AUUAAGGUUGAUUAAAAAUAAACGCAAAACAGUAAGGGCCUGUAAGUCUCGUUUACUUUCACUUUCCUUUUAUAAAUUCCGGGUAUCUGAGCGUUCUUGGAGACAAUGGAUUACCGCUUCGCAUUGGGUUUUAAGCCUCGCAGUGGAGUAGUAGAGCCUGUCAUAUCGUUUGUCUCCCGAUUGUUGAAAAGAAAAGGAGAAAAUGGAUUGAGUAAAACAGGGCUCCAGAAGGUACUGAAAAAAGGACAAUGCUUCAACUGAAUGUGUCAUCUUUGUACUGGUAUCUGUUAAUGCGGUUUAUCUCAUAGUUCUCUCAUAUGACAACUUCCAAGUAGUUACUGAUGGAAUUCAUUUUAAAUCAGAUGAUCACUUUUACCUGAUGUUUUUCCAGGGUCUUGUGAAAAGUGUUUCAUCUGGCAUUAUUCCGCUACAAAUACUUUGCCGAUGGAACUGACAUCAAUCAAAUGCUCACGACACUGAUAAUUCAUUAAAUGGAAAAGAAUUUCCUUUGGGACAAGCAAACUGUUUCAACAUUUUUCACCUACAAGUUGGUACUGAUGAAAUUUUGUUUGAAGGAAGCUAAAGGCUAAUGAGUACUAAAAUACAAGCCAGAUGAAAUACAAAAGGGUUAAUACAAGUCAUUUAAAAUUUUCAUUUCUUUGCAGGUAGUGAUGAGU